GGUUAGAAAGAGUCGGAGGGAUAUCGCGCGGAGGACAGGAGUGGAGGAAGGGCAGACGAUAACGGAGGGAUGGAACGAGAGGGAUGGUACUGUCAGAGGGAUGGUACGUGUAAUACGUAUACCGAAAGGAAGACGAGAUGGAAGAAAAAAAGAGAAGGAGAAAGCAGGAAGAACGACCGUGAGAUAAAGGGGGGAGGAAGGCGAGAGGAAUCACAAAAUACGAGGAGGUGAAGGGGGAAUGUGGAAAUGCCGGCGGUAGUGGCUGUCCUCCACCGCGCUGUGUUGAACAACGAGACUAGUGGCGCUAGUGUUGCAUCGAUCAGCCGCCACCACCUGCAACCCUCUCCCGAAAUGGUCAACCCUCGAUCUCUCGUAGAACGGUGCGCGUUCUGCACAUCCGUUCAGCCCAUGCCGCUUAAUUCCAUCGUGAUCUUCAACCUCCUCCUCUUCCUCUUCCUCCUCGACUUCCCUCUGCCCAUCGUUUCCCUCGUCCUGCUUCUUACUCGCCACCCGAUCGACCGUGGGCUUGAUUUAUUAUUUUGUCGUUUGAGUUUUCGCCCCGUCAGCGAACGCUUUCGUGUGAACCAGCGCGUUUCGUAUCGUGCCAAUAGUGGUCAUCGUGAUUUGAUGGAAAACCAGGUGACCUCGAUCAGAAAAUUUGACAGCUCGAACCUUAGCACUUGGGCGAUCGUACGAAUAGAAUCGUAUACCGAAGUUGUGAGAUCACGUUAGGUAUUCUCGGACAGCUAUGGACCACAUCAGAUAAGUUGAAAAUGGAGAUGGAAAAGUGACAUAAGAUAUUACAGAACAUUGAACACCAAACGAACAGAUUUUUGUCGAGGGUCGAUUCUCAAGGGGUCCCGCAAGUGAAAAUUUAGGAUAGAGAACGGCUGACGUUUCCCAUAGUCGAUCCGUUCUUCUCUCAGUCUACGACGUCGUCCUCGAGGAUCGAUAACCUUGAAGGCGCCGUAGCAACGUGCUCCAGGGUUUUCGUACGAAUCCCCUGACGGAUUAUGGCGAUACGGAGUAUCACGGUGCGGGAAUACAGAAACGUCUUCCUAUUGGGAAAUUGUCCGACGGUAAAAUCACGUUAUUUCUUCUUUAACGUUAAAUUCACCGCGAUGAAAUUCGUUUCUAGAUCGCUUUCGGUUUUACGACAUGAUACCUAAACGAGGCGAGCAAAUAUAGCCUCGUAGAAAUACAGAAUUACGAGCUACCUUUUAUUUUAUAACACUUAAAUGACGCAAAUUCAGCACAAAAAAACAACAUGACUAUACUAAAAUUACAUCAAUUUAAAUAACAAUUACCUUAAAACAUUGCAAAAUCCUAAAAUAUAAUAUCUCAACAUUAUUUCGACAUGUUAGGGUUUUUUACAACAUUGCUACGUAGAACGUACAAUUUUAUUGCAGCGUCCAAAACUUUAGUUGGAUACGGAUCAGAAACAAUUUUAUGUUGGGCCAUCAAAAUAAUUAUGUAGGAUUACCAAGCACGAUGUAAUGUUGCUGCAAACACUUUUGACAUUCUAGCAACAAAGUUAAACAACCAACAAAAUUUUUUAAUUGGUUCAACAUAAUUAUCUUCAGAUCUCUAUUUCAGCAAAAUGUUGUGUAGUAACUCUUGGGGAAGCAAUACAUUUUCGAAGCGUUGUCCUACUUUUCGAAUUUCGCGACUAUUUUGUGCCAGGGCUUCCCAUUUGAUUGCUACUCUCAAAUUUCACGAUUACGCCCUUUCGAAACUUUGUUCGCGUUCGCGAAGCAAUAUUUCCGAAUGUCACACCCAAAUUUACAUUGCUGACGUGAACGACGUGGCUCGAUUCCGCGUAUGUGUCCAAACCGAAAUUCCGGACGUGUCUGGGAAGACGGUCAAUUCGAGAAACCAGACUAAUCGGAAUCCCUCGUCGCGCGGAGCCGGCUUAUCCACGUUUCCGCGCGAGAAACAUCUCGACGGCGCGACGCGGCACGUCCACCAUCGUCGUCGCUCUUCUCCCGUUUUGCUAUCCCUCUUGAAAAAGAAAUCCUCGGAGUGACCUCGGUUACGCGAUUUUGCUUUUGACAUCCUCGUCCUCGGGAGAAAAUUACAUCCCGACACGGAGAUAAUCCGAUCCCUACUCGCAGUAAUUAGUUUUAUUCCGAACGCUUGGGCAAACUAGGAUACUAAAUAUUCUGUAAUUUUGAAGCGAGAAUAUUGCAUCUCAAACGCAAAAUAAUUUCUGUUGUUACGGCUACAUCUUAUUGAGGUGAUUUACUAAGAUAAGUUUAUUAAAAACGAUAAUUUAUGGCGACAUUUCGUUAUAAAUUAUCGCAAUAAAUAAAAGAAAAAAAACUUUUUCUCACAAAAAAAACAUUGCGAUACAUUUGUAAUACAAUCCUACGCUAAUUAUAUUUUAGCUCACACAAAGUCAAAUAUAAUAAAAUGUGAUGAUUAACUUCAGUAACAAAAAUAAAAAGAAACAAAGUAAAUAAGAAGCGUACUUUAACGCUUCCAUAAAUCACGUUUUAAUAACUCGCGAAAGAGUUUCCGAGUUUUCAAGGAAACUUAGAAAUCAUUUAAUCAAAGUAAUCAAUUCCAAAACAUCCUUGCAUUCGCGGUUCGAAAUAUUUAAUUGGGAAAGUUUUCCCGCGUAUCUGGGAGAAAAAAGACUGCAGGAGUUGUGCAAAUCCCACGCGAUACGAUCAUCAAUCGUUAGAGAAUUAGUCGUCGAGUCUUGAAGAAGUUCGGAGCCUUAUCGCAGUACCAUAAUUAUCGGAGCUAUAGAUGAACGCUCGAGUAAAGUAAGUUAUUUAUCAGGGGAUUAAAUUCAACGCUGGGGAAAUGUCCAUCGGCGGGGAAUGCGAUUUCGCUCAAAUCUCUCGUUAUCGCUGUGAAAGAGCCCGGGAAUGGGAAGGCGGAAAAACAAGGAGCACUUUGCAGCACUUUAAAGUGCUUUCACGUCUCUCGGCUCACUUUGCAUUCGCAAACUUGCUUUAUCGAUGGUUACUUGUUCAUCUCAAUCGCCAGUAAGUUGCGAUGAAAAUAUUAUACGAAAAAUAUCUGUUCUAUUCAAAUAUCUAAGAAAAUUAUAGUUAAUAAGCUCACUUUGUUCUUUCCAUAGCAUAUCUUUUUUUUGCUUUGAUCUUUGAUAUCACAUUUUCCAUCAAAUGCGUGAAAGUCUCUUGCCCUCGUUCUCUUGCUAAAGUUCCCAUCAGAGCUAAACGAAUUAAAAACACGCAUUUCCUUUUUCCGUCAGUUUCGCUCAAUCCUAUUGGCCGCCCUGCCUAAAAUCACAUUCUUCGCUAAAUGGAAAUCAAUCGAACAGCGCUGUGUUCAUCCACAUCGCGUCACUUUGUUAAUUCUCGUCAUAUCGAACACUUCCCGCGAGAACAAGUUCUCCCUGUGCUCCGUUCGCCGUGCUCACACACAUAUGGUUUUUCGCACGGGCAAAGGGCGACAUGCACCGUUGCUUUUGCAAGUUGUGCGAAUCGGUCAAUGUCGGAGCCUCGACUAACAGCUGCGUGCGUAUUUAAGUGAAGCUAGGAUUCCGUCGGCUGAUUCUUAGACAUCAAAAUGACGAGGGUACAAAACAGAAUAGAGACCUACUUCUGUUAUCUUCAUCUUUUUAUUUUUUUUUUUAAUUAAAUUGCGGUUCCGACAUCUUAUAUUUAAUAUCGCACUGAGUCAUCUCUGAUUCCCUUCUUUUCUCCGAUUCUCUUCUUUUUUUUUCCUUCUGCCACUGUCGUCGUUCGGACCUGCUGUCCUCGACACAAUGACACUUUCGAAAAAGUUUAGUGGCGAGUCUGCUUCAGAUUGAAUUAUACACAUAUACCGAGGAGACCGAGAGUCUUUGUCGAGAAGGCUUGAUUCCUAUCGGGACACUAGGAGUAUACUCGAACAUAGAUCGACGGGUCAAGUUGUGCGCACACACAAAGUUGAUUCGAGAAUCGGGAAAAUUUUAUUCUCAUAUAUUUUUCAGCUUCGAAGGUAGAAUUUUGCCAUCGAGAUGUCCAAGAACUGAUCACGAAUGUCUCAUGACAAAGGUCUUCGGUAGACAAAAUUCGAUUAUAUAAGGCGCCACGAAAUCAACUGGAUUUAAGAGCAUCACCGGAGAGAAAAGGAUGAAGAGCGAUGCGAGAGGAAGUGGAUUGGAGGGAAAUGGCCAAAUAGGAAUUGCCUGGAUGCUGCGCAGUUGCAGCUGCUGUCGCGCUGAAGUAGGACGAACGUUCUCUCCGACUGCGUAAAUAAUAAACGAUUCCUCGCCAGCUGCAGUAACGCGAUAUACAAGCUGAAGCCGUGGAGAUUCUUUUUCGUAAGGCGAUUUGGACGACGGGCAGUUUACCCAUCCGCCAAGUUACCGAAAUUACCUGCGUGCGUGCUUCGAUCGACCGGUUCGAGGCUCGGCGACCAAUUUGCCGAUGAUUGAUGAUGAUAUCGCGCGACGCGUCGUAACUCGUUUACGGAGAUUGUUACGCGAAUGCGGAAAAAAUCACCGGACAUCCAACUAUUCUCCAAGUCUGAAUAGUGCGAGAUGAUUUUAACGCGGGAGUCUACGGAACGUAUAAUCAUGCUGGCGAAAAAGAAUCGUUAAUCAAAACUGAAAGUCGCUUUUGACGGAAGUUUGAGCAAACUUCGCGUAUAUAGCAAACUCAACGAUCAUCUCCGCGAGGCAGAUCGGCGUACCGCGUAUUCACCGCACGAGGGAGAAAUUAUUCAAAAACUUGGGCUAGAACAAGCGCGCACCACCGCGAUAUCGAUAAUACUUUCUUGACAACAACGUAAUAUCGCGCUUAAGAAUUUUUCGUACAAGAUGCCUGAACGGGAUUUGUAUUUAUCCGCGACGCGAUAUCAUCAUCGAGACAGAAAUAAACACAGCCCGCAUCGUAUCACUCGGGUACAUUUUGUGCAAUAAAAAAUGUAAAAUUAUUCGCAUUAUAUUAUAAAAAUUUUCACUCACAUUAAACGCAAUUUCUAAUAGGAAAAAAUGGGAAAAAAAAUAAUACUCAAUAUUUUGCGAAUUCUUUGAGCCAAUGUUCGCCUUGACAGAAUAAAAAUAAU